rnacentral:tRNA from 1 species
GGAGAUGUAUCGAAGUGGGCAGACCGAGAACGACUCGAAAUCGUUUGAGCGGUAACACGCUCCGUGGGUUCGAAUCCCACCAUCUCCGCCA